UACGUAGGGUGCAAGCGUUAAUCGGAAUUACUGGGCGUAAAGCGUGCGCAGGCGGUUCCGCAAGUCAGAUGUGAAAUCCCCGGGCUCAACCUGGGAACUGCAUUUGAAACUAUGGAGCUAGAGUGUGUCAGAGGGGGGUAGAAUUCCACGUGUAGCAGUGAAAUGCGUAGAGAUGUGGAGGAAUACCGAUGGCGAAGGCAGCCCCCUGGGAUAACACUGACGCUCAUGCACGAAAGCGUGGGGAGCAAACAGG
rnacentral:rRNA from 1 species